CUGAACCCUAAUUCAGCCCUAACCAAACUCUAGAGUCCAGAUCCAAAAUGUGCUCUCUACCUCAGUGCCUCUUUCACACUCAAGUCCAUGGCCUCUUUCAUUGAGCUCCUGGUCCUCAUUCACUUCUGUUUAGCCACCGCCUGCUACCGCUGCCGUCGGAACUUCCAACUUCGAAUGGCCACUGCCUGCUCCCUCGCUUCCCCUCCAUCACGCAGAAGCCAUCGCAACCUUCCUUCCGUUCCAUCGCACAGCCACCGUGUGAACGUGGAAGCCUCCGUCACGCAGCCACGCCGCCACUGGUGCUAGCUUUGUUCCACCGCAGCCACUGUCCCGUUCGAAGCCCGUUCGAAGGUGUUCCUUGUCUUGGUGUCUCCUUCUUGCGUGCUUUGUUCAAGGCUUCUUCUGGCUUCCAGCAGAACCGAUGUGAAGGUAUCGGUGCUAAGCCCGAAAGAGGAAUGAAAGAGAGAUGCAUUCUCUGACAUUACAAAACUCAAAGACAGACAUGAGAAGGUUGAGAGAUUACUUUCGUUCUAUAAAUCAUCCAAGGGAGGUCCUUUCCAGGAAUCUACCACUCAUAUAAGAGGAAGGGUCGAUAUUUGUAGGAUACUUUAUUGACUAUGGAUACCCUUGAUCAACAGAGCUUAGAUGCCAUUACUACGUCUAGAAUAAGAUCCGACAUUGGAUCAAAGUUCAUUUUUAAAACCAACAUUGGGUAGGAUACUAUUGCUGCAGAGUUUAUGACAAGGCAAAACGGGAAGGAGCAUCCCAUUGAUGUCCUUAAAAUGUCACUUCCCUAGCAAAACUCAAUUAUACUAAAAAUAUUAAUGAUUGGUUAUCUUUGAUUGUCAGUC